rnacentral:rRNA from 1 species
UGGGGAAUUUUGGACAAUGGGCGAAAGCCUGAUCCAGCAAUGCCGCGUGUGUGAAGAAGGCCUUCGGGUUGUAAAGCACUUUUGUCCGGAAAGAAAUCCUUGGCUCUAAUACAGUCGGGGGAUGACGGUACCGGAAGAAUAAGCACCGGCUAACUACGUGCCAGCAGCCGCGGUAAUACGUAGGGUGCAAGCGUUAAUCGGAAUUACUGGGCGUAAAGCGUGCGCAGGCGGUUUGCUAAGACCGAUGUGAAAUCCCCGGGCUCAACCUGGGAACUGCAUUGGUGACUGGCAGGCUAGAGUAUGGCAGAGGGGGUAGAAUUCCACGUGUAGCAGUGAAAUGCGUAGAGAUGUGGAGGAAUACCGAUGGCGAAGGCAGCCCCCUGGGCCAAUACUGACGCUCAUGCACGAAAGCGUGGGGAGCAAACAGGAUUAGAUACCCUGGUAGUCCACGCCCUAAACGAUGUCAACUAGUUGUUGGGGAUUCAUUUCCUUAGUAACGUAGCUAACGCGUGAAGUUGACCGCCUGGGGAGUACGGUCGCAAGAUUAAAACUCAAAGGAAUUGACGGGGUCAUAGCU